UUUUGUGUUCUUAGGAGCUGCUGGGGUUACACUGGAGGCAACUGAGCCUGGAGAGAUCCAGGGAACUUUCCAUAUCUCUCAGGAAUGUGAAGGCAGGGACAAGACUAGAAACUUCCCUUCCCUGAAGCAGGCUCUCUCCUGUCAGUGUCAUCCUGGCUGUCUGUCCCAGGGUCACCAACACUGAGGAUGGCUGCCUCAGCACAUAUGAGACUACAGAGCCUGCAAGGAGAGAGAAGGAGAGGUGACAGUAAGAGACUCAGCCAAGUUUGUGAUCUUGCCCCAGAUUUCUGCUCUUGGGCUGCACUGCAGGAAUAAAAUCUUCCCCAGCUAAGUAUAAAUGAAACAUUUAAAGAUCCAGUAAGGUGCUAUAACUGUCUUUCCUUGGUUUGAGCUCCACAUGCACAACAUAGGGGGGCUGUGUCUCAUAUAGCCUGUAGCUCUUGGCAGGUUCUACACUUCAUGCUCAAAUACAGAGUAAAAGCUGCAGAGCUUCAGCACACGUGGUGGUCUAGGCCCACUGG